GUUCUGCUUAUAUAGAUUGGUUUUAGGUAUUUUAAUAUUUCCUAAUUUGUUAAUACAAGCACAGAGUGGGUUAUAUUGUCGUCACUGUCUGUCAUUAAAUACUGAUUACUCAUUAUUGGCAAUUAGAAUUACCGUGACCAGAAAAGAAAACUGUCAGCAAAUAGGCCACUGAAGAAAUUAUCACUGGCAAUUCAGAAAGCAGUGGUGCGGAAACAGCAGAGAGGAUGCGAGAAAAAAAAAAAGCUCUGACCACAGGCUAUGCUGGGAGUAUGAUGGGGUCAGGCAGACAGCCCAUGAUGGCAUCCUGAGAAGCAGUCUACAGGCGCAUCGGUCCUACCUUUCACGUAACUGACGUGAAGAGGGGCUCAGACGAGGAAACCGGCGUUUAACGCGCUGUGGGCUUUCCUAUAAUCAGCCUCUAUGAGGGCUGAUGGGGACGUUUCGUGUGAGGAGAAGCGCCAACCGGUUCAGUGCGGCCCGGAGCCACUUAAGCAGGAGCAACACAUGCAGCCUCCUCGUCACGUACUCCACUACACCGCUUGAACGCCCCGCAUUGUCCCUCCCACUGAUUCGGUGGGCUUGAUUAGGUAAUAACGAGCAAAUAUGCAUCUCCACCAGACUGCUACGCGCGUGCAACAAUGGGCCGGCUUCUGUUAGAAACAGCCGCUAAGUGGGAAAUGAACCGGGAAGCGUGUGGAGCGGCGUCGACUGUGCUGUCGGGCCUCUUUCUGGCUCAUGUGUUGCCCCAGUGAAGCCCAGCGGAUGCAGCACGGGGCGGCACGGCCGCCCGGUGACAGCUCGGCGGGCCUACAUUUUCGGCGGCUCCAGCGUGGCGCGCGUCGAGCACCUGACUGCCCACUAAUAUCCGCGCAACGCUUUAUUUUGAAACACGCCGCUGCUGCCUCGUUUCAACCGGCUUUAAAAUGCAAAUCCUCUCAUCUGUAGUGAGCACUGACUGGCUGUGUCUAAGCAAUCAACCACCACGGAAUGAGAAGGGUUUUUUUUUUUUUUUUAAACGCGCACAGCCUCCGCUUUUUUUUCCCGGUAAGUCGCUCACUAAAACGCUCACACACGACGAGGAUUCCGGGUGAGAUUACUUUCAGAAUGUCUAGGUGUGAAAUUAAAGACACGGAUGUACCUUUGUCGUUGUUAAUUCCUCUCCUCCGCCGCUCUAGACGGCAUCUUGUCGCCUCCAUUCACCCCAGCAGCCUCUCUCAGCAUCCUGCGCUGUCAUUGGGCAGCGGACGCGCUCUCUCUCCUCCUCUACGCGCCACAGAGCAGCAUCACCACUACUGCAAGUGGCAGCUGGCAGGAGGGGGUGGGCGGGCGAGAUGCGGUGAGCGGCCUGCACCGACUUUCAUGUCGUCUUGGUGCCAAUCACUGAGCGCGUCCCGUCAAAUCGGCCGAAGCAACAGAGUAGAAACUCAGCGAGCCUUGGAGUUGAUGGGUCCAGACUAACUGACUCACCUUCCAGACAACCUUACCUGGAUGACUGAGAAUCUUCACCGACGUUACAUCAUGCACCAGGAUGAGAAACAUACAGAGUCACAGAGAAAUAAAACACGUGACUCAUCCUGGAUCA
ensembl:lncRNA